CAAAAAAGGAGGUUUAUUUUUGGUCUGAAACUUUCAGCCUCUCCCCUUGUAAUAAACACUUCCAGAUUCCCACUGCAUAUGUUAUAUGAUGGUAUGGGCUUUUUUAUUUGGGUAUGAGAAAAACUACUAUGGCAUGUCCAUGUUUUUAGAACCGUGCCUGGAGGAGGAGGCACGUAGAGGUGUGAUGCUUAUGGACUCGCCUGGAGGCAGAGGUGGAUGAUGGCUGGGAGGACACGGGGGAGCUGUACACACCCAGCCCCAGGUUUUACCUUCUCAUUGCUGUACAGAGGCACACUGAAGAGGCAGCGACUGAUCAGGGAAGAAUGAGCAAUGAUGCCAAUAUUCACUACGAGAAGGAAGAGUUGGAAGGCGAGUCUUUGCUGAGAUCCUGUUAGAAGGGUCACCGCCCCAGUUCAUUUGUCCAUUGCACAAAAUCCCCACAAGAUCCCUAGCUCAGCAUCACAGCAUGUGCAGCAAACUGUGCUGUGCUACUACGUAAAUAAGCUCAGUUACUUUCACAAUUUUUUAAUAUUACAGUUUCUAAACCAAAGAAAAAAGCCCCCAUGGAGGCCCUGGUGUGAGUUUUAGCCAUGGGGCUGGAUAAUUCAUGGCUUGAUUUCUCACAGAGGCUGCUCCUGGCUUGGAGAGACCACCAGAUCCUGUAUACAGGCAUGCAGAUGCCAUUGGAGAGACAAAGCCAUUGGCAUCACCAGCCCCACAGCUGGAAGCAUUGGAAAGAGAAACAGGAGGACUCUACCCUGAGAGAGCAGGACCACCACUGUAAGGCAGGACCACCACUGUAAGUCAAGCCACAGCAUUCAUUAAUCAUCUUGGAGCUACGUGGGCACUAUGGGGGGUCUUCUGCAAGAUGGUCUAUGCAGCUGGUUGUUCAUCUGAGAUAAAGUGGCACUGUUUAAGAGUGUGAAAAGGAAGGAGUGGCAGACAACAUGUGACACUCAGAGAUGAUUAUGACUCUAAGGAAGGUUACAAGUGCAAAGUAACUUUUGUAUUUUCUCAAAUUGGUAACAGCAUUAUUUACUAUUGAGGUACUGUGUCCAGUUCUGGUCCCCACAGUUCAAGAAAAAUGCAGACAGACUGGAGACAGUCCUAGAAAACUUGUCUGAAGAGGAAAGACUGAAUGGGUUAGGUCUUAUCUUCCCAAAGAAGAUUCAGGGGGGCCUCAUCUCAUCACAGAAUUUCAGCACUCAAAGGGCAACUACAAGGACGAAAGAGGUUCUCUGUUCACAAUGAUCCACAAGCAGAAGACAAGAAGUAAUGGGUACAACUUGCACCAGGAGAGAUUUCAUCUUGAUAUAAAAAUAAUUUGUUUUUUUACAGUGAGAACAGUUGUUCACCUGAACAAUCACCCUGGGGAUGUAGUGCAGUUGACAUCACUGGAUGUUUUCAAGAUGCAACUGGACUAGGUGCUCAGAAGUCUCAUCUGAGGGGACAAAUAAUAAAGCCCCAAUAUUUGAGAUGAUUUGAA